rnacentral:rRNA from 1 species
CCUGGAGGCUGCAGGAGGGAAGGGUGAGCAAGGGGAGAAAGCAGGAGGCAGCAACGCCGCGGGAUGGAUGAAGCCAGUCGGGGUGUAAAGAGCGGUCAGUGGGGAGGAAACGGGACGGUACCCACAGAGGAAGCACCGGCUAACUCAGUGCCAGCAGCCGCGGGAAUACGGAGGGUGCAAGCUUUGUCCGGAAUCAUUGGGCGGAAAGAGUUCGUAGGUGGCAUGUUAAGUCUGGUGUUAAAUGCAGCAGCUCAACUUCUGUGCGGCACUGGAUACUGGUAAGCUUGAAUGCGGUAGAGGUAACGGGAAUUCCUGGUGUAGCGGUGAAAUGCGUAGAUAUCAGGAGGAACAUCGGUGGCGUAGGCGCUUUACUGGGCCGUAAUUGACACUGAGGAACGAAAGCCGGGGUAGCAAAUUGGAUUAGCUACCCGAGUAGUC